rnacentral:rRNA from 1 species
AUUGAACGCUGGCGGCAGGCCUAACACAUGCAAGUCGAGCGGAUGAAGGGAGCUUGCUCCUGGAUUCAGCGGCGGACGGGUGAGUAAUGCCUAGGAAUCUGCCUGGUAGUGGGGGAUAACGUCCGUAAACGGGCGCUAAUACCGCAUACGUCCUGAGGGAGAAAGUGGGGGAUCUUCGGACCUCACGCUAUCAGAUGAGCCUAGGUCGUAUUAGCUAGUUGGUGGGGUAAAGGCCUACCAAGGCGACGAUCCGUAACUGGUCUGAGAGGAUGAUCAGUCACACUGGAACUGAGACACGGUCCAGACUCCUAAGGGAGGCAGCAGUGGGGAAUAUUGGACAAUGGGCGAAAGCCUGAUCCAGCCAUGCAGCGUGUGUGAAGAAGGUCUUCGGAUUGUAAAGCACUUUAAGUUGGGAGGAAGGGCAGUAAGUUAAUACCUUGCUGUUUUGACGUUACCAACAGAAUAAGCACCGGCUAACUUCGUG